rnacentral:rRNA from 1 species
UACAGAGGGGGCAAGCGUUAUUCGGAAUUAUUGGGCGUAAAGGGCGCGUAGGCGGCCUGGCAAGUGACGGGUGAAAGCCCUCGGCUCAACCGAGGAACUGCCUGUCAUACUGCCGGGCUUGAGUCCGGGAGAGGUGAGUGGAAUUCCCGGUGUAGCGGUGAAAUGCGUAGAGAUCGGGAGGAACACCAGAGGCGAAGGCGGCGACCUGGACAGGCACUGACACUCAACUACGAAAGCGUGGGGAGCAAACAGG